AUACGUGAGUUUGAGUGUUCAAGUAAAAAUACAAAGUUUAUAUAUCGGCUUUAAAAUCGACCGCAAGUUUAAGUGGCCCGGAAAUCAUUUCGCUUUUGUGCGAUUUUGAAUUUUAUCCGUUAUUCGGGUGUACGGAUACAUGGAAUUGAAAAGAAUACUAUGCACUGGGACAAUUCCAACCUCUGCUAAAUAUCAUACUUCUCUAGCAACUACUAAACGUUUUUAACAUUGUCGAGCACGAAAAAAUUUAUACUCCGGAGAGCAAUUGACCAGAGGGAGAAAUGAAAUAACUAAGUGCAUUUGCUAACGUUACAUUUACAUCCAAAAAAUGUGUUCAUUUCUUUCAGCAAAAGUUUGAAGUUUCUUUACACACUCAAACUUUUAAUAGGCCAAUUUGACCUUGCUAAUACAUUUUACAUAUUUGACCAAAUAUCAGAUGAAGAAAUAUACAUGACUUUGCUAUAUCUCAAUCAACUUAUAUCAACAACGAGUCCUCUGUCAGUAUGGUUAAGAGCGAGUACUUCACUUUCAUUCUUAUCCUACUAUCUUCUACACAUAGCUUUGCACCAGUUACCACCCAGUAGCCAGGCGACUCCUCGGGUCCUCUUACCAUUUCUGUUGUAUCGACAAAGUGCGACAUCUUUGGCGCCCUUGCCGGUGAAGGUGGAUGACUCCUCAGGUCCUCUUACCAUUUCUGUUGUAUCGACAAAGUGCGACAUCUUUGGCGCCCUUGCCGGUGAAGGUGGACCGCCAGGAUAAACGGCAGAGUUCACGUCCACCUUAGCUGGCUUCUGUGGUUGAUUUAGUUUCGUACUGAAAGGGGUGCUGAUCAGCAUUGACAUCAAUCCUGAUUUUCGACAUGUGCUUGCAGGCCCCUCCCACUCUGACCGACGAAUCUUUGCUGAGGCGACCAUCGAGAAUCCUAACCUCAGGAAGAGGACCUUUUUCAUUCCAAUAACCUUCACCUCAAACCAGGCCUUGGUGACAAUAGAAGCAGAUUCAUCUAUUCGUGUUCCACGGUAUUCAACGGGAGCAGUGCAAAUGUGCGAGGGCCCCUCCCACUCUGACCGACGGAUCUUUGCUGAGGCGACCAUCGAGAAUCCUAACCUCAGGAAGAGGACCUUUUUCAUUCCAAUAACCUUCACCUCAAACCAGGCCUUGGUCACAAUAGAAGCAGAUUCAUCUAUUCGUGUUC
rnacentral:lncRNA from 1 species